rnacentral:rRNA from 1 species
UACGGGAAGGGCAAGCGUUAUCCGGCAUGACUGGGCGUAAAGAGUCCGUAGACUGUAAAGUAAGUUUUUUGUGAAAUUUUAAAACCUAAUUUUAAAAAAGCAUUAAAUACUGCUUUACUUUGAGUUUAGUGCAGAAAAGUGGAAUUUUAUAUGGAGGGGUGAAAUCCGUAGAUAUAUAAAGGAAUGCCAUUAGCGAAGGCGACUUUUUGGUAUAAACUGACGUUGAGGGACGAAAGUGUGGGGAGCGAACAGG